GAUGAACGCUGGCGGCGUGCUUAACACAUGCAAGUCGAACGGAAAGGCCCAAGCUUGCUUGGGUACUCGAGUGGCGAACGGGUGAGUAACACGUGGGUGAUCUGCCCUUCACUUCGGGAUAAGCCUGGGAAACUGGGUCUAAUACCGGAUAGGACCACAUUUUGGAUGGUGUGGUGGAAAGUUUUUCGGUGUGGGGUGAGCUCGCGGCCUAUCAUCUUGUUGUUGGGGUGAUGGCGUACCAAGGCGUCUACGGGUGGCCGGCCUGAGAGGGUGUACGGCCCCAUUGGGGCUGGGAUACGGCCCAGAGUCCUAUGGGAGGCAGAAGUGGGGAAUAUUGCACAAUGGGCGCAAGACUGAGGCAGAGAAGCCGCGUGGGGGAUGACGGCCUCUGCGUUGUAAAAUCCUUUCGCUCGGGAAGAAGAGUUUUUGUGACGGUACCUGGAGAAGAAGCACCGGCUAACUACGUG
rnacentral:rRNA from 1 species